CCUACGUGCGGCAGCAGUGAGGAAUAUUGGUCAAUGGGCUUACGCCUGAACCAGCCAAGUCGCGUGAGGGAAGACUGCCCUAUGGGUUGUAAACCUCUUUUGUCAGGGAGCAACGCCGGCUACGUGUAGCCGGACUGAGAGUACCUGAAGAAAAAGCAUCGGCUAACUCCGUGCCAGCAGCCGCGGUAAUACGGAGGAUGCGAGCGUUAUCCGGAUUUAUUGGGUUUAAAGGGUGCGUAGGCGGAAUGCCAAGUCAGCGGUAAAAUCGCGGGGCUCAACCUCGCUCCGCCGUUGAAACUGGCGUUCUUGAGUGGGCGAGAAGUAUGCGGAAUGCGUGGUGUAGCGGUGAAAUGCAUAGAUAUCACGCAGAACUCCGAUUGCGAAGGCAGCAUACCGGCGCCCAACUGACGCUGAAGCACGAAAGCGUGGGUAUCGAAUAGGAUUAGAUACCCGGGUAGUC
rnacentral:rRNA from 1 species